rnacentral:rRNA from 1 species
GGGCCCGCACAAGCGGUGGAGUAUGUGGUUUAAUUCGAUGCAACGCGAAGAACCUUACCAGGGUUUGACAUCCUGCGAAUUUCUGGGAAACCAGGAAAGUGCCUUCGGGAGCGCGAGUGACAGGUGGUGCAUGGCUGUCGUCAGCUCGUGUUGUGAAUGUUGGGUUAAGUCCCGCAACGAGCGCAACCACGUCUUUAGUUGCCAGCAUUUAGUUGGGCACUCUAGAGAGACUGCCGGUGAUAAACCGGAGAAGGUGUGGAUGACGUCAAGUCAUCAUGCCCCUUACAUCUGGGCUACACACGUACUACAAUGCUACGGACAAAGGGCUGCAAGUUCGCGAGGACAAGCAAAUCCCAUAAACGUGGCUC